UGCGUAGGCGGCGCGGUAAGUCGGGUGUGAAAUCUCGGAGCUUAACUCCGAAACUGCAUUCGAUACUGCCGUGCUUGAGGACUGGAGAGGAGACUGGAAUUUACGGUGUAGCGGUGAAAUGCGUAGAUAUCGUAAGGAAGACCAGUGGCGAAGGCGGGUCUCUGGACAGUUCCUGACGCUGAGGCACGAAGGCAGGGGAGCGAAAC
rnacentral:rRNA from 1 species